rnacentral:rRNA from 1 species
GUGCCAGCAGCCGCGGUAAUACGUAGGGGGCAAGCGUUGUCCGGAUUUACUGGGCGUAAAGAGCGCGUAGGCGGAAGCUUAAGUGUGGCCUGAAAGCCCCCGGCUCAACCGGGGAGGGUGGCUGCAAACUGGGUUUCUUGAGGGCGAUAGAGGAGAGUGGAAUUCCUGGUGUAGCGGUGAAAUGCGUAGAUAUCAGGAGGAACACCGGUGGCGAAGGCGGCUCUCUGGAUCGGCCCUGACGCUGAGGCGCGAAAGCGUGGGGAGCGAACGGGAUUAGAAACCCCGGUAGUCC